AUGUUGCCUGAUCAAGUUUGUAAGUUGAAGCAGCUAAUUAGUGUAUUAGCACUCAUUGAAAAUGAAAAGGGCAUGAAGCUACUGCCAAUAGGAAGAAAAAGCUCACUAUCUUUAGUCCUCUAUUCUUCAGUUAGAAAAGAAGAAAAGAGAAGAUAGAUUAGCAUCUCAGAAGGCUAAUGAGGCCAUCAUGCAGUUCGUAGGAGACUUUGUAGCAUUGACUUUGUAGCAUCACACCAUGAACUAGGUCGUAGCUAGUUCUUGUUUGAAUAUGGACUUGUCAAUUCUUGUCUUUGAAUCUGGAAC